rnacentral:lncRNA from 1 species
UGAAUUCGUUCUCUCCCUCUUCACUCUCAAAAUGAAACCCGCUCUCUCUCGGCUCACACAGAUCCGCCCGGCUCCCUCUCUUCUCCGGCGAAGCAGCGAACCAGCCGCCGCCCGUCCUCUCCUGCCCGAUUCACCACAUCAUCUUCCUCUCUCCUUUACCUCGGUCACCGCCGCCCAUGCGGCGCCGGCCGCCGCAGCAUCGCCCAGCAUCGGGCCUCCGACAACCUUCCCCUCUCUUCCUCACUCAUUCCCAAAUCCAAAGGCAGCAAAAUGAAAUUCUCAGAUUUUUAAAGAUUUGAUUUUUGGUGCAUUUGUCAAGGUAUUUCCUUAAUAGAAAUAGUUGGGUAUUUGGAUUUCGUGUGUUAAUCUCUUGUGAUAAUCGAGCUGGAAUUUUGACUGAGAAAUAGAAAGAGUUACUAUGUUGAUUGCUUCAUACUGCUGCUUGAGGAAGUGAUUCUGGCGGUGGAAGAGUGUAAGAAAAGUUGGGGUAGUUUAUGAAGCUGGAACGAUUGACGUGGUUGAAACAAAGCCAAAAUUUUUGGGAAUAGAAUAUCAAAUUGUGAAAAUAUCUUGCACAGUUAGACUUGGAGAGAAAGGAAAAUAUUUCAGUUUCUCACAAUCACACACACGCAUGUUUCGAUUUCUCACACUGAUCUCCAAAUUUUGGGCCAGUAUUGAUCUCACAAAUAA